rnacentral:rRNA from 1 species
CAGCCGCCGCGGUAAUACGUAGGUGGCAAGCGUUGUCCGGAAUUAUUGGGCGUAGGGGGCUCGCAGGCGGUUUCUUAAGUCUGAUGUGAAAGCCCCCGGCUCAACCGGGGAGGGUCAUUGGAAACUGGGAAACUUGAGUGCAGAAGAGGAGAGUGGAAUUCCUAGUGUAGCGGUGAAAUGCGUAGAGAUUAGGAGGAACACCAGUGGCGAAGGCGGCUUUUUGGCCUGUAACUGACACUGAGGCGCGAAAGCGUGGGGAGCAAACAGGAUUAGAUACCCCCGUAGUCCCUGUCUCUUAUAC